GACGAACGCUGGCGGCGUGCUUAACACAUGCAAGUCGAACGGAAAGGCACUGCUUGCAGGGUACUCGAGUGGCCAACGGGUGGGUAACACGUGGGUGCUCUGCCCUGCACUUCGGGAUAAGCCUGGGAAACGGGGUCUAAUCCCGGAUAGGAGACACGUUUAGUGUGUUGGUUGGAGAGUUUUUUCGGUGUAGGAUGAGCUCGCGGCCUAUCAGCUUGUUGGUGGGGUAAUGGCCUACCAAGGCGGCGACGGGUAGCCGGCCUGAGAGGGUGGACGGCCACAUUGGGACUGAGAUACGGCCCAGACUCCUACGGGAGGCAGCAGUGGGGAAUAUUGCACAAUGGGCGCAAGCCUGAUGCAGCGACGCCGCGUGGGGGAUGACGGCCUUCGGGUUGUAAACUCCUUUCGCUAGGGACGAAGCUUUUUGUGACGGUACCUAGAUAAGAAGCACCGGCUAACUACGU
rnacentral:rRNA from 1 species